rnacentral:rRNA from 1 species
CUGAUGCAGCAACGCCGCGUGAGGGACGAAGGCCUUCGGGUUGUAAACCUCUUUUAGUAGGGAAGAAGCGAAAGUGACGGUACCUGCAGAAAAAGCACCGGCUAACUACGUGCCAGCAGCCGCGGUAAUACGUAGGGUGCAAGCGUUGUCCGGAAUUAUUGGGCGUAAAGAGCUCGUAGGCGGUUUGUCGCGUCUGCUGUGAAAACUGGAGGCUCAACCUCCAGCCUGCAGUGGGUACGGGCAGACUAGAGUGCGGUAGGGGAGAUUGGAAUUCCUGGUGUAGCGGUGGAAUGCGCAGAUAUCAGGAGGAACACCGAUGGCGAAGGCAGAUCUCUGGGCCGUAACUGACGCUGAGGAGCGAAAGCAUGGGGAGCGAACAGGAUUAGAUACCCUGGUAGUCCAUGCCGUAAACGUUGGGAACUAGAUGUAGGGGCCAUUCCACGGUUUCUGUGUCGCAGCUAACGCAUUAAGUUCCCCGCCUGGGGAGUACGGCCGCAAGGCUAAAACUCAAAGGAAUUGACGGGGGCCCGCACAAGCGGCGGAGCAUGCGGAUUAAUUCGAUGCAACGCGAAGAACCUUACCAAGGCUUGACAUAUACCGGAAACGGCUAGAGAUAGUCGCCCCGCAAGGUCGGUA